GGGCUCCAAGCAGCUGCAACUAGCGGAAAACGCGCGCCAGCUGCACGGAGGCAAACAGUUCCCAUUUUGUGUGCUCGGCUAACUGCACGUCCAGCCUCAGCCAGCUCAAGACGGCCACAUUGCCUUGUUGAAGAUGGCUGAGUGUAAACCAGAAUGCAAAUCAGCUGGGGCAGGUACUACUGGAGGCAGCGCCCCAUGAGAAGGGGCCAAGAACCCGCACCCACCAAAAUCAAGAUGAAAGGCUGAACCCGGAGAGAAAAGGGAGCAACUGAUGUUGCCAUGCAGAUCCCUUGGUUGCUAUGAGAUGGUAACAUCACUCUGCCCCGCGAUUGGCCAGUGCCGCCUCAGCUGCGGUGCCUCCCAGGCUGUGUGGUUCUCAUGUGGGCCACUGACACAGAACUGUUACUAUGGUGAACUUUACAAUUUCCUUUGAUUGGUGGAUUUCAGAAAUAGGCCAUCAGUGGAAUUCAUUAUAUCCAGCUAACCUGGCUCAGCUUCUCAUAGGUGGAUUGGUGAGUCCUGGCCAAUUAUGCUUCUGCUCAUCUCUACUCUCGGCAAAUAGGAAAAGAGAGUGAAGGACUGAGUUUUAACUCUUCUAAUUUUGUAACCUGACUCUCUAUAAGAAAAAGUGGGAGAAAGACCGAUGAAACCGAGAGAAGAGGUGAAUUAUUUUAAGUGCAUUAGAUCUACCUUUCUAACAAGUCUUGUUUGGAGUGAUGGGGGUGUGGGUCGGGGGAGGGGAAGGCCCAGGCUAAGGAGAGGGAGAGAGUCAGGGAACCACAAAAACAAAGCAGGUAACAGAUUAGAGCGCUAGGGCUAGUGUUUAACACCCAGAGUUUUAAAACCUCUUUGCUCUAUGUGACAAAGCUGUUUUUAGUAAUAAUCGCAACAUGAAAUGAAAAUAAUGAU